UACAGAGACUGCAAGCGUUAUUCGGAUUCACUGGGCGUAAAGGGUGCGCAGGCGGCCAAGUGUGUCAGGUGUGAAAUCCCGAGGCUUAACCAAGGAACUGCGUCCGAAACUGUUAGGCUUGAGUAUCGGAGGGGGUGGCGGAAUUCCCGGUGUAGAGGUGAAAUUCGUAGAUAUCGGGAGGAACACCUGUGGCGAAGGCGGCCACCUGGAAGAUUACUGACGCUGAGACGCGAAAGCGUGGGGAGCAAACAGG
rnacentral:rRNA from 1 species